GCUGCUGUGGCAGAGAGGGGAGGGGCUAUGUCUAUGUUUCAGUGUUCUGACCUGCCAACGUUUAAAUGGUCAGUAGCCUAACAUU
ensembl:snoRNA LOC120095768 small nucleolar RNA SNORA17